UGGAAGAAACUUCUCAACGAAGACGAGGAGAUUUCGAUUUCAGCGCAGAAUCGAUCUGAAACGAAGCACUUCAGCCACUGGAAUCGUGGAAAGGAUAGACUAGGAUCCUAAUCGAACUUCUCGGAUUGCUCUCAAACAUGUUUGGUUCCGAUCCAGGAUCGCAGGCAAGCUGGAAAGCAAAUACGAGGUGUCAUAAGCUCUGCUUAUAAGAUAUAAAGGCAAGCAAAGCAAGAGAUAUAUAACCAGCCUCCAUCCUAUCUGGAUUUGUGUUUACACAGGAAAAUACUUCAUGCACACAUUAUUCUCCGUAUCAUUCUGUGUAUUGGCAAUUGUUCCCAUUUUGUGAUUGAGACAUCUGAUACUUCAAUCUGGUUCUCUUAGUAAAUUCUCAAGUAGAGAAGCAUCUCAAUUACAAACAGAAGUUACGAACCUUGCUAAAGAGGCAAAGAAAGAAAGGAAUGCUCUGUCCAAGGAGGUUGCAAAGAUCAGCAACCAUGGAAUCUCAGUCUGAAUCUCACCACUUUUGCAGCUGCUGCGCAAGCAGUUGCUGAAGCAGAAGCUGCAAUGGCUGAAGCUGAAGAGGCAGCUCGUGAGGCUGAGGCUGCAGAAGCUGAUGCGGAAGCCGCCCAGGCUUUUGCAGAGGCAGCAUUGAAGACACUGAAAGGAAGAAACACCCCCAACAUGAAUGUACAGAUGAUUCAUGCUUGAUGGGGUUCAGUCUCUCUGAUCACUAGCCGCUUACAGAUUUUCUCGAAUGCAACCUGGUUGAUUGUCUUCCAUAGUUCCAUGGACUUGAUCUAUCUUGUAAAUAUAGCAACAAGAUAUUUAACCUAUAAUAUGAGGGAGCAGGGAGGUGUUCCUCCAGACGAGUCUGGCACUCGUCGUUGUCAGUUUUUGGGAGUUAGCUGUAUGUUGAUUCAUUCCAUUGUAGAAAUUGAUGCUCGUUUGCUGAACUCUUUUCUGUAUUAGUGGAAGAUGGUGGAGAGAUGUUUGUUGGGAAAGAAAGAAGAAAGCAAUAGAAAAAGAAAAAGAAAGACCUUGUGGAGAUACCAUAGAUCUAGAUGUUUGGAUCCACUGCUUUUUGUUUCUUUUAAUAGGCGUAAAAUGGAUGGUAGAUAUGGGGGCAAUUCUCUUUUAAAAUUGUUGUAGCUGCAGUAUACCCUUUUUUUGUUGUAUGAUAAUAAUAUUGAUGAUAAGAAUGAUAAUCAUGAAUCCAUGAUGGAGUGAAUAUAACCACCAGACUGCAUAUAAUUUGACUAUGAUGUACUAUUUUUUUUUUAGAGGGAUGUACUGAUUGUUGGUUACUUGUGCAUUAUACAGUUAUUACAGUUUGGUUGCUUUUAA